rnacentral:rRNA from 1 species
AAUACCACCCUUUAAUGUUUGAUGUUCUAACGUGGACCCGUGAUCCGGGUUGCGGACAGUGUCUGGUGGGUAGUUUGACUGGGGCGGUCUCCUCCUAAAGAGUAACGGAGGAGCACGAAGGUUGGCUAAUCCUGGUCGGACAUCAGGAGGUUAGUGCAAUGGCAUAAGCCAGCUUGACUGCGAGCGUGACGGCGCGAGCAGGUGCGAAAGCAGGUCAUAGUGAUCCGGUGGUUCUGAAUGGAAGGGCCAUCGCUCAACGGAUAAAAGGUACUCCGGGGAUAACAGGCUGAUACCGCCCAAGAGUUCAUAUCGACGGCGGUGUUUGGCACCUCGAUGUCGGCUCAUCACAUCCUGGGGCUGAAGUAGGUCCCAAGGGUAUGGCUGUUCGCCAUUUAAAGUGGUACGCGAGCUGGGUUUAGAACGUCGUGAGACAGUUCGGUCCCUAUCUGCCGUGGGCGCUGGAGAACUGAGGGGGGCUGCUCCUAGUACGAGAGGACCGGAGUGGACGCAUCACUGGUGUUCGGGUUGUCAUGCCAAUGGCACUGCCCGGUAGCUAAAUGCGGAAGAGAUAAGUGCUGAAAGCAUCUAAGCACGAAACUUGCCCCGAGAUGAGUUCUCCCUGAGACUUAGAGUCUCCUGAAGGAACGUUGAAGACGACGACGUUGAUAGGCCGGGUGUGUAAGCGCAGCGAUGCGUUGAGCUAACCGGUACUAAUGAACCGUGAGGCUUAACCUU